rnacentral:pre_miRNA from 1 species
CUUGUGCGUUGCAACGGGUAAAUGCUAUUUUAAUUUUAUUNUUAUUUGAAAUUCUUUUAUGAUUAAUAUUUUUAUUGUUAUUAGAUGAUAAAACAUAAAUAGUAAUUUAUGUGUGAUUAACUUAUUUUAAUUUUCGCAUAAAUUUUUCAAAUAAGACGGACGGUCAAACGUUGGACAUGGAUUCUCACGGUGCACUUAUU